rnacentral:rRNA from 1 species
AGUGAACGCUGGCGGUAGGCCUAACACAUGCAAGUCGAACGGCAGCACAGUAAGAGCUUGCUCUUACGGGUGGCGAGUGGCGGACGGGUGAGGAAUACAUCGGAAUCUACUUUUUCGUGGGGGAUAACGUAGGGAAACUUACGCUAAUACCGCAUACGACCUACGGGUGAAAGCAGGGGAUCUUCGGACCUUGCGCGAUUGAAUGAGCCGAUGUCGGAUUAGCUAGUUGGCGGGGUAAAGGCCCACCAAGGCGACGAUCCGUAGCUGGUCUGAGAGGAUGAUCAGCCACACUGGAACUGAGACACGGUCCAGACUCCUACGGGAGGCAGCAGUGGGGAAUAUUGGACAAUGGGCGCAAGCCUGAUCCAGCCAUACCGCGUGGGUGAAGAAGGCCUUCGGGUUGUAAAGCCCUUUUGUUGGGAAAGAAAAGCAGCAGGUUAAUACCCCGCUGUUCCGACGGUACCCAAAGAAUAAGCACCGGCUAACGUCGUG